AAUCGAACCCGGAGAUAGCUGGUUCUCCUCGAAAUAGCUUUAGGGCUAGCCUCAUGGAUCAUUGAUGGGGGUAGAGCACUGAAUGUGCGCGGGGGCCACAAAGCCUACCAAACGCUAUCAAACUACGAAUACCAUACAAUGCAGACCAUGGGAGUCAGUCCGCGAGAGAUAAGUUCCGCGGGCAAAAGGGGAACACCCCAGAUCAACCGCUAAGGUCCCCAAGUUCACGUUAAGUGGAGAAGGAUGUGGAAUUGCACAGACAACCAGGAUGUUGGCUCAGAAGCAGCCACACAUUUAAAGAGUGCGUAAUAGCUCACUGGUCGAGUGAUUGUGCGCCGAAGAUGUCCGGGGCUAAACGUGACACCGAAGCGAUGGGUGCAUCUGAAAGGAUGCGCGGUAGAGGAGCAAUGUGCAGAGGCAGAAGCCGUAUCGAGAGGCACGGUGGACACUGCACAAGAGAGAAUGCCGGUAUGAGUAGCGAGAGGCAUGCGAGAAACAUGCCCGUCGAAAGCCCAAGGUUUCCUGGGGAAGGUUCAUCCGCCCAGGGUAAGUCGGGGCCUAAGCCGAGGACGGAAGUCGUAGGCGAUGGACAGCAGGUGUAGAUUCCUGCACUACCGAUGGAAUGAAGCAGUGACACAGAAGGAUAACUCGAGCAGGGUGAUGGUCAACCCUGUGCAAGCAUCAAGGUUGGGUUGUAGUGAAGUACGCAAUCCUAUAAGCUGAGAUGUGAUGCGGACCGAAAUUUCAGUAGGGAAGCGAGUGAGUUCACGCUGGCGAGAAAAGCUGCUAGUACAUCCAAAGGUACCCGUACCGGAAACCGACGCAGGUGGGCGAGGAGAGAAUCCUGAGACGAACGGGAGAACCCUUGUUAAGGAACUCGGCAAAAUGACCCCGUAACUUCGGGAUAAGGGGUGCCUGCGAGAGCAGGCCGCAGAGAAUAGUCACAAGCGACUGUUUAGCAAAAACACAGGUAUCUGCGAAAGCGAGAGCUGACGUAUAGGUGCUGACACCUGCCCGGUGCUGGAAGGUUAAGGGAACAUGUUAGAGCAAUCGAAGCAUCGAACCGAAGCCCCAGUAAACGGCGGCCGUAACUAUAACGGUCCUAAGGUAGCGAAAUUCCUUGUCGGGUAAGUUCCGACCCGCACGAAUGGUGUAACGACUUGUGAGCUGUCUCAACAGGGGGCCCGGUGAAAUUGAAGUAUGGGUGAAGAUGCCCAUUACCCGCGACUGGACGGAGAGACCCCGUAGAGCUUUACUGCAGCCUGAUAUUGAGUUUCGGUAACUGAUGCACAGGAUAGGUGGGAGUCUGAGAGACAUGGGUUUCGGCUCGUGUGGAGACGCUGUUGGGAUACCACUCUUCGGUUACUGAAAUUCUAACAUAGCUCUGUGAAACCAGAGGAUGGACAGUGUCAGGUGGACAGUUUGACUGGGGCGGUCGCCUCCGAAAGAGUAACGGAGGCGCCCAAAGGUACCCUCAGAAUGGAUGGAAACCAUUCGAAGAGCGCAAAGGCAGAAGGGUGCCUGACUGCGAGAGUGACAACUCGAGCAGAGACGAAAGUCGGGCUUAGUGAUCCGGCGGUAUUGAGUGGAAAAGCCGUCGCUUAACGGAUAAAAGCUACCUCGGGGAUAACAGGCUGAUCUCCCCCAAGAGUCCACAU
rnacentral:rRNA from 1 species